rfam:Felis catus isolate Cinnamon breed Abyssinian chromosome B4, whole genome shotgun sequence.
ACCUGGGUGGCUCAGUCGGUUGAGUGUCUGACUUUAGCUCAGGUCAUGAUCUCAUGGUUUGUGGGUUCAAGUCCCACAUCAGACU